CGGCGGCACCGCGCUCCAUGUCGAUUGGCUGCCGCCGUGGCCACGCGGAAUCCCCAAUUGGCCCGGCGGUCAGCGUUGAAGGGCCGCCCUGCGCCCAUUCGCCCGCUGGUUUCAAGGCCCGGGUUGGCUGGGCGGGCAGCGAAAUGAGGCGCGCGGAUUGGUCGGAGGGAGGGAGGUUGGGGUGGGGCAGGCGAGAGCCGGCCGCUGAUUGGAUUGGCCUGGUAAAGGCCUAGAGCGCAGACCGGCUGAGCGCUGGGAGGAGGGUGGACCAAAGACGAGACUCCGGGUCCGCGUGAUUGGCUGGGACACUAGACGUUGAUAGGAUAGGGCGCCCGGGAGAACUGGGGAGAGGAGUUCGGGGUCGGGACCGCGGAAAGGCGGGAGGCGCCCCGCCGCUUCAGGAGCCUGGCGCGGGGCACGAUGGGACGCCCCCGAGAAGGGGCGGAGCCGUGUUCGGGCUGCGGUUGGGAAAGUGCCGUCACUCCAAGGGGCGUGUUGAGGAGGGUUUCGCGGGCCCUAGCGGGGGAGGGGGGACUGUUAAAGCCUCGCACCGCGCCCACAGGAAGCUGCUUUCUUGGCCGGGCCUACUUGGUACCAGGCUCUCAGCUGGGAAGGACCUUGAAGACCAUGCGGUUCAACUUCGAAUUCGCAGGUGUGGAAACUGAAGCCCAAAGAGGGGAGAACUGUCCUGUGUGUGUAAAUGAUCUGGAAUCAGUGAAGAUGAAGUAAGAGGAAUCUUUGGAAUUGACCUUUUGUGGACUCCCCGUACUACAAAUGAUCCACAAUUCUGCCUCACUCCAGCCCAGCUUCCUCCUGCCCCCCAGCAGCUUGCUCCACGUGAUAGUACCAGUGAGGGCAAAUGGAUUUUUAAAGUACCUGGAAUAAAAUGCUGGGAAGAGAAUAUGUUUUGCAGCAAAGUUCUAGUCAAACAUAAGAUCCUUGCCAAAACCCAAGUGAAAUGAUUUUUUUUUUUUAGUUGAACUAAGGUUACUGAUGGUGCCGUCUAGUCCCUUUCAAAAGCACUCAACACUAGCCCGCAUUCAGCAAAGGCCAGUGAGGCACCAUGACACAAGUGUUCAGCACACAGACUCCAGAAACUGCCUCUGUUCAUAUCCAGCAGUGCCACUUCUUAGCUUGUGUGACUUACUUUGCUUACAUGUAAAAUGGGGCUAGUAGUUGUACCUACUUCAUACAGGGCUUUUGGGAGAUCUUAAAGUGAGUUAAUACGUGUGAAGUGAUGGGAACACUCCCUGGCAUGUUAUAUAUGCCAUAUAUACAUUGGCUAUUUAUUAAGCAUGCAUUUUGUACUAAGUGAGUGGUUUCUUAGCCUUUGGCCUAGUAGGAAAGAAAGAUUUUAAUUAAUCUCACAAGCAAAUGUAAAGUUGUAAAAGUGACAUGCCAAAGAGUUACCCAGUCAGGGGGCUCAGGGAAAGUUUACCUGAGAAAGGGAAGAGUUACUCAGGUGGAAAAGGGAGGAACGGCAUGUGCAAAGGCCUUGUGAUGGGUGAUGGGAGGGAGCACAGGGAUUAUAAGGAACUGCAAGAGGGCCAAUAGCCCCAAAGCACAGAGAUCAAGGGAUUGAGAUAAGAUUGGAAUGUUGAGUAGCGGAAAGAGCAUAUGAGACUUUGCAUGCCAUGCAUAUGAUUUUGUCUGUGUUCCAAGAGCAGAGGCCGCUACUCAAAGGUCUUAAGAAGAUUGGUGAUUAUAAUGUGGAGAGGGUUGUAAUGUGGAAAGAGGGAAGAGGAGACGCAGGGAGAUCAGUGAGCAGACCAUUGCAGCAUUCUAGGGCACAUGAGUGAGAAGACCCGCUGCCAAGGGAGAAGCAGGCAGGCUGUGACCCGAUGCCCUUUCUUCCUGAGCAAAGCUGAUGGACCCAAGAGGGGUCAAACCUUGGCCUCCUCAGUGCUGAGGAAGAAUGGAGGUGAAUACCACAUCUGGAGAGCUGAGUGCC